rnacentral:lncRNA from 1 species
AAAAAAAAUAGCAUGCAGAUACUAACAGCGGAAGGUAAAUUCAUUAUUCUUCAGAGGCUUGUGAUAAGAAACAAAAUAUUUAUAUUAAUAUACGUAUAUUUUUAGUUUAGUGAUAAGAACCUGUUAUAUUAUAGCUCCCUCGUACUGAUUUUCACUUCAUUUGUCUUGCCUGCAAGUGCUGCAAUGAGCAAGUGGCUGCACCUGUGGUUUGAAUCAGAUGUUGGCAAUCAGGUAAUUAGUGCUCUGGUACAUAGUGUGGUCCCUGUGGUUGAGGAGUGUUAGUUGGAUUUAGACUGGUUGCUGGUCUUAUUGUUGUGAAGCCUUACAGUUAAUUUUCUAAAGGUCCCAGGCUGCAAAUAGUCCUUCUUCAGAACCUUUCUAAAACAUUGUUGCUGCCAGAAGCUUACCAACAGGAUCUCUUGGGUUGACACCUUGCUUCACUGAGUGGUUGUGCUUUACUGAAUUUUUCCAUUGCUGAAGAAUCCAUCAGAGCCUUUGCUAUUGCAGCUGAGGUCAUCCAGCUAAUAAGCAGCAAGAGCACAUCACAACUGAGACAAACAAAUCAAGCAAAUGAAGCAGCUGAUAAGAGACAACCACUGAAGAAAUUAAUUGCUCUUCUCAAGACUUCUUUAAUUUCAUUAACAGUGUUGUUUGUUUGUUCUACUUUUUCUUCAAGCUUUUUUUUAAAGGUUUCUGUGAUUUCUUCAUGUGCCUUUCACUGCCAGGAGUACCCACAUACAUUCAGAUGGGUACUUUAUGUAUGAUUUUUCUUCAUCAGUUCAAAAGACAAUCAUGAUAUGGACAUAAAUUAAAUGGAAAGGUCUCUGCCUCUUGUAUGGAAAUUAAUUUAAUGAUGAGAUUUUCUUGACAUGCGUUUCUUCCUAAUAAAACCUGACCAUUCUUCUCA